rnacentral:rRNA from 1 species
UUGGUGGCGACCGGCGCACGGGUGAGUAACGCGUAUGCAACCCCCUUAUCAGAGGGGAAUAACCCGGCGAAAGUCGGACUAACUUCGCAUAAAACAGGGACACUGCAUGGUGAUAUUUGUUAAAGAAAUUCGCUGAUAGAUGGGCAUGCGUUCCAUUAGGUAGUUGGUGAGGUAACGGCUCACCAAGCCGACGAUGGAUAGGGGAACUGAGAGGUUGGUCCCCCACACUGGUACUGAGACACGGACCAGACUCCUACGGGAGGCAGCAGUGAGGAAUAUUGGUCAAUGGGCGAGAGCCCGAACCAGCCAAGUCGCGUGAAGGAAGAAGGAUCUAUGGUUCGUAAACUUCUUUUGCAGGGGAAUAAAGUGCAGGACGUGUCCUGUUUUGUAUGUACCCUGAGAAUAAGGAUCGGCUAACUCCGUGCCAGCAGCCGCGGUAAUACGGAGGAUCCGAGCGUUAUCCGGAUUUAUUGGGUUUAAAGGGUGCGUAGGUGGUUUGAUAAGUCAGCGGUGAAAGUUUGCAGCUUAACUGUAAAAAUGCCGUUGAAACUGUCGGACUUGAGUGUAAAUGAGGUAGGCGGAAUGCGUGGUGUAGCGGUGAAAUGCUUAGAUAUCACGAAGAACUCCGAUUG